UUAAGGUCUCUUACAGGAGAGGUGGCGUUCUCCUGACUUUGCCGUAUUAGCACCAGAGUUUGAUUUCUUGCCAACUUUCGCCCCAAAGGUGCCAGCGGCAGCCUUCCUAUUCUCUGAGCAUGUGUGUAACUUGAUCCUGUCUCCUGUUCUGAGCUACACAUGCCCACCAGCCAAUCAGAAGCGGAUCACAUGUGCAGUAUGAAGCAAGGAGGGAAAGGAAGGGAGAAUACCUUUUUAGAGAUGGCUGCCUGUUCUAGAAAAUGUGAAUUUGAGUCCUGUUUGUCUAUAUGGAACGGAAGGCAGGAUGGACACAGCAGCGCCAAGUGCUACUAAUAGGAAAAUAUAAGGAAAGUAGUUUUACGUGCCACUGACUGUGGGUGAGAUGCAGGGACCGUAACUGCACAUUCAGACAUUUUUGUUUGGACAAAAUAAUGAAGAGCCAACAGGAGAAAGGGCAUCUGCUUAAGCUGCCUGUAAGGUUGUGUGGUAAAGUUGACUGCUUGACUGUUAUUGCAUCUUACUGUAUGCCCUUCUAGCGUACAAUAUCGAACUAAACCCAUUCCUUGCCUGUUGGUUUGCAUGAGGAUACUAGAGUUUGUGGUUAUAAGCCAGUUGCUAUAAAUCUGACAUUUAUGGUAAUGCGUAGAUUGUGUUCACAUAACCUAUAGCUUAUAUCAUUCAUAGCAGUUCUGUUCCUUUAUGAUCUCAGAGAUUUCUUGUGAAUCCUGCAUGCAAUAAAACAAAGCCAUUUAAGGCAUUUUAUACCAUAACUACCACUGCACAUACAAGGCAGAAAUGCAGUAGAUGAAAUUAUUUUCACAGCAGUGGAGAAAUGGCAUUUUUAAAUAAAAAAAGUCAUGCUAGGAAAUAAUACAACUAAUAUUUUGCUCCGUUACCUUGGGCUAUAAAGAUCCUGCACUGCAUACAUAGAAAUCUAUAUGAAAACAGUACAGUAUUUUUAAACCCUCUUUGACUGGGAACUAUAGUAUCAUUGCAUGUGUCUCACUGGGUAAAUCAGUUUUUAAAUCAAAUUAUUUAACUGAUAGACAUUGGUUGUAGUAGUGUCUGAAAUGAACAAUUUAAUCAUCUUUGCUAAUAGGAGGCAGAAUUAAAAACAGAAUCCACCACUGCCUGAGGUCACUGCUGCCUGAGGCCAUGGCUGCUGGUUUUUAGUAGCGCUACUGCUGCUUCUACAGCCUUUCUACAGAAUAUUUUAAUCAUUUAUAGUAUGUGAUUUGAUCUCCACUUGUUGGCAUCUCUGUGUUUCUCUUAUAGAAUGUUUAGUUCCUUUGGAAAUCUGUUGCUAUCUUUUAUUUAAAGUUAUUUUUUCGAUUUUCCUUUUGAUGUACUAUCUGCCACUGUUAAAAUAAACCUACCAUUGAAAUGA